GAAGUUUCUGAACUCUGCUGGUGUGCUAGGCUGUAUUGAGGUUGCCCUUCUAUGAGAGAGGAUUAAGAAAUCUGCAUUGAGAUUGCAGCCCAAGAUGGCAGAGGAGUAAGAGACCUUACUUUUCUCUGGUUGCAGGAAUUCAGCUACAUAGCCAUCAAAUCAUUCCGAACACCUGCGAAAUCAAGGGGAGAUCAUAGAAAAGAACACCUGCAACUCUACAAACAGAAAAGUGACAAUGUUCUGCCAGUAAGCUGCCAUGCUGGAGAAGCCCACUUGAUAAGGAACCAGCCAGCUCCAGCCAAGAGCCAGCAAGGUUCUGAAGAUCUCAUUCCAACAGACUUUGAGGAACUGCAUCCUGCCAGCAACUAUGUGAAUGAGUACGGAGAUUGGUCCUUCCCCAGUCAAGCCUCCAGGUGAGAAUGUAGUAGCCCCACAAAAGCCAUGAGAUAAUAAGUAUAUACUUUUUAACCCACUAAAUUUUGGAAUAUCCAUUACACAGCAAUAGAUAGUUAAUGCACCACCCCUCAAUUACUAUAACCUUGGGGUAAAAUGUUGCAUGUCCGGGAAGGCGGGCACCAUAUAGGAAGACAA